UGGGGAAUAUUGGACAAUGGGGGGAACCCUGAUCCAGCCAUGCCGCGUGUGUGAAGAAGGCCUUAUGGUUGUAAAGCACUUUAAGCGAGGAGGAGGGUACUGGUAUUAAUACUACCAGGUACUGGACGUUACUCGCAGAAUAAGCACCGGCUAACUCUGUGCCAGCAGCCGCGGUAAUACAGAGGGUGCGAGCGUUAAUCGGAUUUACUGGGCGUAAAGCGUGCGUAGGCGGCUAAUUGAGUCGGAUGUGAAAUCCCCGAGCUUAACUUGGGAAUUGCAUUCGAUACUGGUUAGCUAGAGUGUGGGAGAGGAUGGUAGAAUUCCAGGUGUAGCGGUGAAAUGCGUAGAGAUCUGGAGGAAGACCGAUGGCGAAGGCAGCCAUCUGGCCUAACACUGACGCUGAGGUACGAAAGCAUGGGGAGCAAACAGG
rnacentral:rRNA from 1 species